rnacentral:lncRNA from 1 species
CUCCAUAAAAUUGAUUUUUGGAUAUAUUACAGUAAUAUAUAGAAAAUUCAAAAUAAACAAAACAAAAAAUUAAAUAUAUUUAGUUAAUAUCAAAAAGAUAUGACUAUGAUUCUUUUAAUGAUUGUGAAAUUUUAUUAGACAUAGUUUUACAAAAUUUUACUAAUGCAUAUAUUCACAUGUAUGUUGAUAUAUAUAUAUAUAUAUAUAUAUAUAUAUAUCUCAUCAUAUUAUAGCUUACCUUUGAAAUGACUCUAUUUUUAAACAAUUGCAAUAUAAUGGAAAGAUUUAACUAUAAUUAAUCUCAUUAAAAGAAAACUGAAUUUAGUAGUCAAUAAUAUGCCUUUCAACUUUAUCAAUCUGUACUUAUUUGCAAUGGCAUCUUCUAGUAGUAUUCUUGUGAAAUUAUUUUUGGCAAUGCUGAAUGAUUGCAUAGAUUCUGCGGUGAGUAAUGGUCAACGAGGGUACUCUCCUGUAAGUUGGUUGCCACUUAGAUCUCUGUUCAACAUGCAAAAGAGAAAUAUUAGCAGUAAAAGAUGUACAUAACAUCAAUGUAAAUUUAAUUUCAAAUGUUAAAUCUUCAAGGUUUGGGAAAUACUUACAACUCUUCAAGUUUGAGAGAAAAAUAUACAUCUGGACGACCUCCGUAAAAUCCAUUGUCAUGAAGUUCCCUGUACCGUAACAAAACUUGAAUUCAAAAAUAGAAUAAAGUAAAGAAAAACAUAAAAUUUACUUAACUUUACAGAUACAAACAAUACUAUUCUGGUAGACUGAUUUCGCAUAAGAGCACUACUUAAACACGUCUGGCAAAGUGCCGGUAAUAUUUGCAUCGGAAAGGGCCCUGACCACCAUUGCAUUCUAGUCAGGGCACAUGACAAAUAUUUCAAAUAUAGCUCCGACGAUGCCCACAACUUCACGUACCAGAUCUCAGACACAA